UACGGAGGGGGCAAGCGUUGUUCGGAAUUACUGGGCGUAAAGGGCGCGCAGGCGGCUGCUCAAGUCAGGCGUGAAAGGCCUGGGCUCAACCCGGGAAUUGCGCUUGAGACUGGGCUGGCUUGAGUGCGGGAGAGGAUGGUGGAAUUCCCAGUGUAGAGGUGAAAUUCGUAGAUAUCGGGAGGAACACCAGUGGCGAAGGCGACUUCCUGGCCUGUUCUUGACGCUGAGGCGCGAAAGCUAGGGUAGCAAACGGGG
rnacentral:rRNA from 1 species